rnacentral:rRNA from 1 species
AGUUCGGAUUGCAGUCUGCAACUCGACUGCAUGAAGCUGGAAUCGCUAGUAAUCGCGAAUCAGCAUGUCGCGGUGAAUACGUUCCCGGGUCUUGUACACACCGCCCGUCACACCAUGGGAGUCGGAAAUGCCCGAAGCCAGUGACCCAACCUUUAAGGAGGGAGCUGUCGAAGGCAGGUCUGGUAACUGGGGUGAAGUCGUAACAAGGUAUC